GUGAGGAAUUUUCCGCAAUGGGCGAAAGCCUGACGGAGCGACGCCGCGUGGGUGAUGAAGUCCUUCGGGACUUAAAGCCCUGUCAGAGGGGACGAUAUUGACGGUACCCUCAGAGGAAGCCCCGGCUAACUACGUGCCAGCAGCCGCGGUAAUACGUAGGGGGCAAGCGUUGUCCGGAAUCAUUGGGCGUAAAGAGCGUGUAGGCGGUGACCUAAGUCGAUUGUUAAAGGUAUGGGCUUAACUCAUACAUCGCAUUCGAUACUGGGUUGCUAGAGAAAGACAGAGGAAAGCGGAACUUCCGGUGUAGCGGUGAAAUGCGUAGAUAUCGGAAGGAACACCAGUGGCGAAGGCGGCUUUCUGGGUCUUUUCUGACGCUGUGGCGCGAAAGCUAGGGGAGCAAACGGGAUUAGAUACCCGAGUAGUCC
rnacentral:rRNA from 1 species